CCUCCAGUAACUAGUGAUGAAUCCAGGCAGCAAAAGGGAAGAUGUGGGACUGGCUCCCAAAAUCCAGGAAGAAAGACCAGAAUCCAGCAACCAGUCCAGUGUGCGUUGUAGUGUAACAGACACUCUAGCGCGGAUGGUCCCUGACUUAUGAUCGUUUGACGGGCAGUUUUUUUAACUUUACGAUCUUGCAAAAGUGAUGGGCGUUUGGUAGAAACCGUCCUGCGAGUUUUGCAUGUGGCUUUCUUCCCGGCACUGGCCGUCUGCAGCGUGGGACCCUCCCGAAGCUGGGCGGCGGCAGCCAGCGAUCACGAGGGUGGACAGACGGCGCUGUAAUUCCGUCCUGCACCCACACACCCCUGCUGUCUCUCCCUCUCAGUGCAGCAUCCGGCAAACUACAUGCAUUAUUAAGCACUUUAUUCUAAAACAGGCUUGCUGUGAGGUGAUGCUGCCCAACUGUCGGCCAGUGUGAGUGUCGUGAGCACGUGUAGGGUCGGCCAGGCUAAGCCAUGACGUUCGGGCCUUGAAUGAGCCAGAAUUCAAGCUCAGGUCUCCCAGAUCCUGACAUUCCCGGAUCCUGCUGGUACGUGUCCCUCCAGGUCCCCUAUCAACUGCCGCUCUGGUUUCUACCAAUUUGAUUCUCCCUCCCAAAGGAGAAAUGGGACUGGAAACUAUCUAAGAGAGCAGGAAAAAGCUCUGCUCUCUGUGACCUGCCCCCAACCUCCCCCAGGACUUCAUGCACCUCUUUGUACAACUUCAACUCAAACAAGACUGUUAAUUUUCACCAAAUAAAGUCAACGGCCGUUG